rnacentral:sRNA from 1 species
AUGGUAUUGGUUUGUGGCAUGGCUGCGUAGGAAUGCAAGGUCCAAACCUCCCUCUCCCUGUGUAGCUACCCCCUGGCUCCCCUCGCUCUUUAUACUGGUUGCAGCAGCCCCGCCAAGUGGGGCCGCGCGCACCAUGUUCCAGCCCACCACCGCCACCAAUCUGAUCUUCGUCUUCCGCCGCCGCGACCUCGUGGAGCGGCAGCGAUCCCAGCAGCAGCAGCAGCACAGAGACGACGACGACGAACGGCGCCGGCAGCCCAGCCCCGCGCGCGGUCGCUCUUCUCGCCAUCUCGAUCGAUCGGUCGCCGCCGGCCGGCGUCGAUCGACGGAUGAUUAGUUAUUAAUGUAUGUAUAUAUAUGUGUGUGUAGCGAUGUCUACUACGAGAUCGAGCGAGUAUGUAUACUGAAUAAUGUUGUGCCUGCGUUAACACAUAUUUGUAGGGCUUUGUUGCAUGAAUUAAUGGAGAGUUUGAAAGC